rnacentral:rRNA from 1 species
UAGCGUAGGGCGCAAGCGUUAUCCGGAAUUAUUGGGCGUAAAGGAGCUACGUAGGCGGUUUGUCGCGUCUGCCGUGAAAGUCCGGGCUCAACUCCGAUCUGCGGUGGGUACGGGCAGACUAGAGUGAUGUAGGGGAGAUGGAAUUCCUGGUGUAGCGGUGAAAUGCGCAGAUAUCAGGAGGAACACCGAUGGCGAAGGCAGGUCUCUGGGCGAUUGAACUGACGCUGAGGAGCGAAAGCAUGGGGAGCGAACAGG